UGCUGCUGUACCAUGCGAAGAUGCAAAUUCCAAGUUGAACACAAGAAAUUAAGUAAGUAUACCUGGCACGAGAAUAAGAGGAACUGCUACCGUUAAUCUCAAUAAAAGCUCACAAAUUUGUUCAUCACACGUUAACAGGACUUGCAAAGAAGUAUUCAGAAAAGCCACAUAUAUAAAUUGAUAUUGAUUUGGUGGCUCUCAAAUCUUAUAUACUAGAAUGAAACUCAAAAAGAUGGGACAAAAGCAGCUUUUAACAGGGCUUAAAAGCAGUGAACCUUAUAAGACACAUUUAAGAAUAAGGAAUCACCAAGAAUAUUACUGACAUAAAAAGCAAACAAGAUGCACAAAGAUGGCUAAGUACAAAGAAACUAUGAAACAAACUUUAAUAAUUUCAUGUGAUUGCAGAUUUAAGCAAAAAAGAUAAAAUUGGAGACAUAACUGAAAAGGUGAACAUAAAGUAGCAGGAUCAAAUAUGUGAUAACUAAUAAGCUGCUUUUCCAUUUCAUUUUUUUAUUUUUUUUCUUGUCCUGACUUUAUGAAUCGUUGAUGAUGAAAAAGGAUGGAAUGAACAUGACCUUGUUUUCACUUUCAGAGGCUUAAUUAGACAAAAGAUGUCAGAUUAUUAUAGACAUAAGAAAAAGGGAAAAAGGAGAACGAAGAAAAUGGGUCCACAUUAAGAUCAUAUAAGAAGCAAACAAACAAAAGAAUAACAACAAAAUUGUUGUUAGUAUAACAGAAAAAAGGAAUAAAAAUAACAAUGCAAAUGCGUAGGAAAGCAGAAAGGGCCAAAAUAUGAAGAAUGAAAACAACUAAAAUAAUAUUGGAAACAAAGAUCAGAACUAAAAACUCACAAUACAACAAGCUACUAAUCAACAGGUCAGGAAAUACCUAGGAAGGAGGAUGAAAACGUUAUUAAACAAAAUUAGAGCCUCGUUCUUUGAGCAAUAAAAUAAACAAUGAACCACGAAUUUUCAAAAGAACCCAUCAUUAAACCCUUCAAAAAUUAUGACAAAAAAACAAUUACUAUAUCUCAAUCUCAAACUAAUUAUCUUUAUCUGGACCUAUCUAAGCAUGGACGGAGCUAAGGGGCGGAAGGGGCCGGGAAAAUUACACUAUAUAGAUAAACAACUUUUUUUCUUAUAUACUAUUAAAUGUUAAAUCUCUGGCUUCUAUUUUCCUUUUUUUGUUUUUUGAAUCUCUUGGUGAAAAUUUCACCUCCACCAUUGUGUUUAAGUACAGAAAAAAAGAUUACAAAAGAAUGCAGAAAAAUGUAAAAGAAGCAAGAAAAUAGCAAGGCUAAGUAUGAUCCGAAAAAUGGAUACCUUACAUAAAAAUGCUGACCUGCUCACCACCAGCAACAUUUAAGUAUUACGUGAAAAAAUUAUAAUGUGGGGUACCUUUUUUUUUUUUUUUGUAUAGAAUGAAGAAAAGAUGAUUAACAACGAAGAGAUGUGAAUGUGGGUCUCCCUCUCCUGUAAAUGAAGAAGAAGAAAAGCAAAAUUCAAGAACCAGAGGGAGAGAGAGGGAGAAAGAGCUAGCGUUUGGGUCCGACGUGUCGGAUCCAAGCUCUUUUCCUAAAACUUCUCCUUCUUCAAGCAGCUGUUCUAUUUUUCUGGGUGUAUUUUUCCUGUUUAUAUUUGUAUGGAUUUGACAGAGAGAUAUAUGCCGAGAGAGAUUUCAGAAUUCAGAAGAAGAAGCAGAUGAGGGACAAGAACGUCAUUUUAUAUAAUGUCUAA
rnacentral:lncRNA from 1 species